rnacentral:rRNA from 1 species
UACGGAGGAUGCGAGCGUUAUCCGGAUUUAUUGGGUUUAAAGGGUGCGUAGGCGGAGUGCCAAGUCAGCGGUAAAAAUUCGGGGCUCAACCCCGUCGUGCCGUCGAAACUGGCGCCCUUGAGUGGGCGAGAAGUAUGCGGAAUGCGUGGUGUAGCGGUGAAAUGCAUAGAUAUCACGCAGAACCCCGAUUGCGAAGGCAGCAUACCGGCGCCCGACUGACGCUGAAGCACGAAAGCGUGGGUAUCGAACAGG